rnacentral:rRNA from 1 species
UACGAAUCGUCCAAACGUUGUUCGGAUUCACUGGGUUUAAAGGGCGCGUAGGCGGUGCGUUAAGUCGGCGGUGAAAUACUUCGGCUCAACCGGAGAAUUGCCGCUGAAACUGGCGUGCUCGAGGGAGGUAGAGGUGCGUGGAACUUCCGGUGGAGCGGUGAAAUGCUUAGAUAUUACAUGGAAUACCAAUUGCGAAGGCAGGUUACUAUCAAUAUAUUGACGCUGAUGGACGAAAGCGUGGGGAGCGAACAGG